rnacentral:rRNA from 1 species
GACGAGCUCUCCAAACGUUAUUCGGUAUCACUGGGCUUAAAGAGUUCGUAGGCGGCUUGACAGGUGAGGUGUGAAAGCCCACGGCCUAACCGUGGAAUUGCGCUUCAAACCGUCGGGCUAGAGGGAUGCAGGGGUAUGCGGAACAGAUGGUGGAGCGGUGAAAUGCGUUGAUAUCAUCUGGAACACCGGUGGCGAAAGCGGCAUACUGGGCAUUUUCUGACGCUGAGGAACGAAAGCGUGGGGAGCGAACAGG